CGGGAUAUUCAAACUGGCGGAAAGUGAAAACAGUCUGAGUGGGACUUCUUUCAAACCACACGCGGGUCUUCAUUUUAGCACGUAUAAUCGGUAGUUUUGCGCGGUGUUUUUAUGUUACAUGAUUGUUUUUUUUUUUUUGGUAACCAUCUAAAACAUUUUUAACAGUGUAUCAGUUGUAGUGUUUGUCAAACGCGAAUAUAUAACCAGGAGACGGUAGUGUUUUGUUUGGCGACGGAUUUAUAAUUAAAAAUAGAGAGCUGCAAAAUUAUUCACAAUAAUAAUAAUAAUAACUUGCUAUUUCAAGAUCCAAAAGGAAGACAAAAUGGGAGAAUCCGGUGGUCAGCUCCGGUCCGGAUAUGAGAGGUUGACAGCAGAGGAAAUGGAUGAACAACGUGCCCAGAAUGUGGCCUAUCAGUAUCUCUGCCGCUUAGAGGAGGCAAAGAGGUGGAUGGAGGCAUGCCUGAAAGAGGAGCUUCCACCUCCGAUUGAGCUGGAGGAGGCACUGAGGAAUGGAGUUCUGUUGGCAAAGCUGGGCCACUGCUUUGCUCCAAAAGUUGUUCCUUUGAAGAAGAUCUAUGAUGUCAACCAGGAACGUUACAAGGGAAUGGGUCUGCAGUUCCGCCACACUGAUAACAUCAACCACUGGAGGAAUGCUCUAGUGGAGGUUGGACUGCCAGCGAUUUUCUACCCCGAGACUACAGACAUCUAUGAUAAAAAGAACAUGCCACGCACUGUAUAUUGCAUUCAUGCUCUCAGCCUGUACCUUUUCCGUCAGGGUCUGGCUCCUCAAAUCCAUGAUCUAUGUGGCAAAGUCAAGUUCACAGAUGAGGAAAUCAACAAUAUGAAGCUGGAACUGGAUAAAUAUGGAAUCCAGAUGCCUGCUUUCAGCAAGAUUGGGGGAAUUCUAGCUAAUGAGCUGUCAGUGGAUGAGGCUGCUGUGCAUGCAGCGGUGAUCGCCAUUAACGAGGCAGUGGAGCGGGGUUGUGUGGAGGACACGGCACAAUCACUGCGCAAUCCCAACGCCAUGCUCACUAAUCUGCAGGAGCAGCUCAUGGCCAUCUACCAGGAGAUGCUGCGCCAGGCUCGUUCUCACAAAGCAGCCAAGGCUUCCGCUAAAGCAAAUGGCUCCAGAGAGAAGGACAUUUAUGAAGAGUAUCUGACACAAAGUGAAAUUCAAGACAACAUUACUAAAGUUAAUGUGCGUGCUGCUGUAGAGCGAGUGGAUGAGGCAAUAGACUGUGGUGAUGCCCUGGCUCUACUCUCAGCCCUGCAGAACCCAAAUCUCGGCCUUAGAGGGCUGCUUAGAGAUCAUUCUGACUGGUAUCUAGAUCAACUCGCAUCAGACAGAGAACAGAAGGCUCUGGAUCUAGGGUGUGUGGACCCCCUGGAUAUAGAUGAACUCCAGGAAGGUGUCAAUGUGGCCAAUGAGGAAGCUCAGCACUCACGAAUGAUGGUGCAGGCAAUAUCCAAAAUCAAUGAAGCAUUGCGGUGUGGUGAGCCACGUCAGACAGUACGUGCCCUGAUGAACCCUGAUGCCAACCUGCCUGACGUCUACCCUUUUGCUGCUGAGCUUUACCAGAGAGAACUCGCUCCUCUGCAGCAGCAGUGCCCUCAGGGUUACCUGGGGCAGGAGGAGCUGUUUGUGGCUGUAGAAAUGCUGUCAACAGUGGCGUUGGUAAACCAGACUCUGGAGGCUAAAGACAUGGGGGCAUUCUGUGCCACUCUGGUCAGCCCUGCUGCUGGUCUUGCAGACAUUGAUGACAGCUUAAUGCAAAGGUAUUUUGAGGAUCUUUCUGAACUGAAGAGGAAGGCAGGCAGAGUGCUCCUCACCUGGAAUGAACUGCAAAGUGGAGUGAACAGUGUCAACGUGGCGGCUCAGGAAGAACACGACCAGAUCCUGACUAUUGGACUGAUCAACCAGGCUCUCAGUCACAGUGACCCUCAGAAAACACUGGCUGCACUGCUGCUGCUCUCUAGUGGCCUGACAGACGUAGUGCCACAGAAUGGCAAACGCUACCAUGAUGUACUGACCAGCCUCAAGAAACGCAAGGCAGAGAUGAGUCGGGACCCUGGAGCAGAGCUGUGGUUAGCUGAUAUUCAGGAGGGUGUGAGCCUAGCAAACCAGGAUACUCAGAAAGCUCUGAAAAUGUCUCUGGGCCUGGCUGCUGUUAAUCAGGCAGUGAAGGAAGGUAAUGCCGCUCAGACCAUGAGAGUGAUGCGUUUGCCAGAGGUGGCUCUGAAGAGCGUGGUGGCAGAGUGUGCGACUGCGUACCAGACCGAGCUGUCAUCCCUGCUCCGUGCCAAACGCAUGGAGGGUGAUAACAAAAGCCCAUGGAUCAGGACAAAGGCUUUAGAUGGCAACUCUUACUACUUUCACCUGCAAAAGCUGGAGGGUGCCUGGGAGAGACCUCAAGGAUUUGUCCAGAACAGCCUCUUCCUCAGCCAUGAAGAAAUCCAAGCAGUAUGCAGCAGGGUAACUGUGGCUCACAGUCGGGAGGUGCAAUGGAAGGCCAGUGAGCUGUUGGUGAUGCAGCUGCAGGCCCGUGCACGAGGCUUCCUUCUCCGGCAGUCGCUUUCCGAACGCCUGCACUUCCUCAACACUCAGUUACCUGCCAUUAUAACCAUUCAGUGUCACUGGCGGAGGUGUCUGCAGCAGAGGGCCUAUAGGAAAAGACUGGAGUACCUUAAUCGGAACUGGGGAGCAGUGGUCAAAAUCCAAGCGUGGGUGAAGAUGUGGCUUGCUCGUAGCAGGUAUCUGGCUCGUCUGCGCUAUUUCAGAAGAUAUGUUGGUGCCAUCAUAAAGAUCCAGGCUUUCUUCAGAGCCAAUAGGGCACGUGAAGAGUACAGGAUGCUGGUGCACUCCAGCACUCCACCUCUCUCUGUGGUACGCAAGUUUGCCCACCUGUUAGAACUGGGAGAUAACGAUAUUCGCCAGGAGGGGGAGCUACUGCGUAUGCGGGAGGAGGUGGUACGCACCAUCCGCUCCAACCGCCAACUGGAGGCAGAUCUGGACAUCAUGGACCUGAAGAUCGGUUUGUUAGUCCGUAACCGUGUCACGCUCCAGGAGGUGGUGUCGCAUCAUAAAAAACUCACCAAGAAGAAUAAAGAGGAGCUGUCUGACAUGAUGGCCCUGGACAAACACAAAGGUCUCAAGUCUCUGAGCAAAGACAAAAGGGAGAAGUUAGAAGCUUAUCAGCACCUGUUCUACCUGUUGCAGACCCAGCCAUCAUACCUGGCUCAGCUCAUAUUCCUGAUGCCACAGAAUAAGAGCACGCGUUUCCUGGAGACGGUCAUCUUUACUCUCUUUAACUAUGGCUCGGACUGUAGAGAGGCAUAUCUGCUGUUGCAGCUCUUUACUGCUGCCCUCCGCCAUGAAAUCAAACUGAAAGUGGACCAGCCUCAGGAGGUGGUGACUGGGAACCCAACAGUCAUAAAGAUGCUGGUGAGUUUUUAUCGUCAUGCUCGUGGCCAGAACGCUUUGAGGGAGAUUUUGGGGCCAGUGGUGCGUGAGGUUCUGCAGGAUCGCACUCUGAGCAUUCGCAUAGAUCCUUUGGAGAUAUACAAGAGCUGGAUCAACCAGACUGAGAGCCAGACUGGCCACAAGAGCCCCUUGCCCUAUGAGGUGAGCGCAGAGCAGGCACUUAGUCACCCAGAGGUGCAGCAACGAUUAAACAUUGCAAUGACUAACCUGAAGACUCUGACUGACCGUGUGCUGCACGCGAUCACCAGCAACCUGCACAAAUUGCCGUAUGGUUUGCGCUACACUGCUAAAGUUCUGCGAGACUCCCUGCAUGAGAAGUUUCCUCAAAUCAGUGAGGAGGAGUUGUACAAGAUUGUAGGUAACCUGGUAUAUUACCGCUACAUGAACCCUGCUGUGGUGGCUCCUGAUGGGUUUGAUGUGGUGGAGUUUGGGGUUGGGUCCGUUCUUGUGCCUGAUCAGAGACGAACUCUUGGUUCUAUUGCCCGAAUUCUGCAACACAGUGCAGCACACAAGCCCUUCCACGGGGACUCUGCACACCUGCGUGCCCUGAAUGACUACAUCACACACAUGCAUGGCAAAUUCAGGAAGUUCCUGAAAAUGGUUUGUGACGUUCCUGAGCCUGAGGAGCGCUUUAACAUUGAUGAAUAUUCCGAGAUGGUCAUCCUCAACAAACCCGUUAUCUACAUCUCUAUUAGCGAGCUCAUUAACACACACAAGCUGCUGCUGGAGCACAAUGAUUCACUGUGUCCAGACCAGAAUGAUGCGCUCCAUCUCCUGCUAAGGGACCUUGGCAAAGUGCCUUCUGUCCAAGCCCUCGUUGGAGAGGGGGUUAUUAACUCUGCAGACCCAAACCUGGAGCAGACUUUGGCUCAGUACAAUAAGAUGGAGGUAUCACUCACGCUUACUAACAAUUUUGAUAUCUUCAAAAGCUCUGAUGAGAAACCUGAUGCCCGAGGCAUUCUGCUUAGCACUAAGCAGCUGAUAAUUGAUGUGAUAAGAACUCAGCCUGGAGAUACACUGAGUGAGGUUCUCCGAUCUUCUAUCUCUCAGGAUCAGGAGAUGCAGCACGGCUGGAUGAUGCAUCGCAGGGCGCAGCGAGAUGCCCGUACCCCGGAGAAGAUGAAGAGGAAUCAGUCUCUGAUUGCUGACAGCAACCUGACGCUGGAGGAGAAGAAGCGGAAGAUCCAGCGCAGCCUGAGGAGGCUGGAGGCUCUGGGAGUGCUUACUCCACCAGAUUCUGAGACUCAGAUACUUCAGCUCAUUGCAAAGGAUAUCCGUCACCAGCGUCUGCACCGCCAAAGGCGGCAAGCUGAGCUGGUGAAGCUCAAGCACACACUGCACAGCCUGCACUGCAAGAGCUCCUUCCACUCAGAACAGAUUGACUACUACAGCCAGUACAUAUCCACCUGCUUGCAAAACCUCACCGCCAGUCAGAAAAACGGGAAAAAGGCAUCAGACAGUAAGGGGAAGAAAAGCAAGCAGCUAACAUUAACCUACACCGCUGCCCGGCUCUAUGAGAAGGGAGUCCUCCUGGAGAUAGAGGAUCUGCCUAUCACACAGUUCAAGAAUGUGAUCUUUGACAUCAUACCCAGCGAGGAGGGAGGCACUUUCCUGGUUAAGGCUCGGUUUUUGGGAGUGGACAUGGAACGAUUUCCCUUGAAAUAUCAGGACUUGCUGCAGCUCCAGUAUGAAGGAGUCGCUGUGAUGAAGAUGUUUGAUAAGGCCAAAGUCAAUGUCAACCUUCUCAUCUUCCUCCUUAACAAGAAAUUCUUCAAGAAGUGAUAUGGACCAAUGAUGGUCAGGUUCGAUUAUUAUAUACACAUAACACUCCAAAAUUCAGAGUUUUAUUUAAUAAAACACCACCAAUUGGACAUAUGCACUUUAUUAGAUAUUUGAAAAUAAGCACGGAAAUAAUAAAAAGAAAUUACUGGAAAAACCUAGUGAGUUUGGGAAAUUAUUAUAACCAAAUGUGUCAGUGUAGGCAAAUAUUACUUACUGGGGGGUUUUUGAGAAUCUCUCUACAUACUAUAUUCUCUUUGUUGAGCAGCAUUUUGUCUUUUUACAACCAUGUACUUGCGUAUUGAUAUUUCAUAUACUACUCGCCCAUUUUAUAUUUCAGAGGGAGAGGGAACACAUAAAGCUUCUUUGCAUUGUAUUCUAUAAAAUGCUAUGGUUCAGGUAGCUUAUUCUUCUACUUUGGGUGGAUGUUUUUUAACAUUAAAUCUGCAAUGAUUUAAUCAUUAUAUCUGUCAGCCAGCUAUGUUUUAAUAAGUGUUCUACUGUAUCAAAGGGCAAUAUGUUCUUACUAUUUAUUCCUAAUCUGUAUUUGAUCUUAUGUUUGUCUGUGUUGUCUGCAUAUGUAUAUCACCACAUCCUCUUUCCUGUGCCUGCCAUUUACUGCAUUAUUAAGCGUGUGCACUUGAAUAGAGCACUCCAUCUGAGCAUUACCCAGUACAGCAGUAUUGGGAUUAUCCCACUAGUCAAAAGCUGUACUCCAAAACCACACACACACACACACACACACACACACACACACACACACACACACACACACACACACACACACACACACACACACACUUUCACAUAUCCUGCCACGUCUCCUCGUCCUUGUUGCAUGCAGUGCCUGUCAGUCUGCUUACCAGCUACUCUUUCUGUGUAACACAAUCAGUGACUGUAUGUGGUGAAUUUCACCAAUAAACUGCAGUCACUUUCUGCAAGUAUGCAAUUCCUUCUCAACAAUGCUUAACCCCUACAGUCUUCGUCACUCAGAAUAUGUGUGGACGUUUUGUACAUUAAUGCACUUUCCGGUGAGAAUGUGUUUUUCAUUUUGCUGUUAAAAUCUCUAAUUUGUCGAGGGUAGUGGCACCAUAGAGCGAGAGAGAGAAGCUCUUGGUUGGAUGAAGGAAUUGAAUUGAAAUGGACAGGUUUUUUUUUCUUCGUCUGAAAGCAACUGUGUUUUUAAGAAGAUGGGAUUUAAAUGAAGAAUUAUAUGACUAUGUGGAGAGCUUUGAUUUUGGCUGCAUUUAACUGAUUGCAAUACCUACUCCCCAUUACUCCCCAUCUCCUAAAUACCUUUUCUGUGAGGUUUUUCUGUGCAAACAUCCUUCAGUGGCUUUUUAGGUCUUUUGUUGUUUGGUUCUUUCCCCAACUAAGACAAGCCUGUGGGUGAGCUAUAUCACAUUAAGCAUUCAGCCCUGUGAAGUCACAUUUACUAACCCCUUUUCGAAUCCCAUACAUGCACAUGCUUUGCAAAAGAUCACGUGGUGGUGUAUCAUUUAUUUUUUGGUGCUCUACCUGAAUUAGUCUUUUUUUUUCUCUUCUCAUCAAAUGGGAAAUGAUCAGAAUGACUUUUAUGACAGUCCACUUUUGACUUUAAACAUAUAAGGUACUUAUAGUGCGAAGUAUUGAAGUUUAAAGGUGCUGUUUGUCAGAUUUUCUUCUGUUCAUCAUACUGAGCUGAAGAACUUCUCAUACACUGCCCCUUUAAGUGAACAGUGCAAUAUUGGGCAAGAAGUGUUUUUUCCUUUCUUUUUUCUUUUUUUUGUAAUGAAGUGACUGAAAAUGAAAGGUCCUGCACCACAAUGGAUAAUAUCUGUUCCGCAUUUCUCUAUUAAACAUGUAUCUUUGUUUAUUCAUCUUUUGUAAAAUAUGUACAGUAUAGUAUGUUCCCUUUUUUAUUUCAUUAUACCAUGUGCCCCAAUGUGUGUCUGUUGUUUAAAAAAAAUCUUCAUAUCUGUAAAGCUGAUUUUUAAAAAAGAAUUUCUUAUGAAAUACCUGUAAAAAUUCUUUUAGAAAUUUAAGCCAUUUUCCCUCCUUGUUUCAUUUGCUUCCUUUCUCUUACUUUACUUGAAAGCUGGUCAAGGUUUUAUGAAUAUUAAGCUUAUAACAAGUAUUACAAAUACUUAUUUGCAUGAGGAGAUGUAUUCUUAAUAAUGUAUUGUAAAUAUGCCUUUAGCUUUUGGAGGCUGAAAACAUGAAACAAUGCAUUUGUAUAUUGUAUAGGACAAAAACAAAAGCCAUUGAUAUUGUGAGUGUCAUUUUGUCAUGUGUUCCCUGUGUAGUGCUACACAAAAUGUAUGAAAUUACAAUUUUCUUUCAGUUCAUUCUUAAAUAUGUUUUUGUCCCCUCUGUAUCAGUUGUGCUCUGUGCUUCAUCUGUCUAAAACCUACUAUUAGGAGACUUACUUGGCCACAGUAUUUCACUUAAUUGUCUGUGUUAAAGUUUGAAAUUAACACACAACACUUUGUACAUUAGUGCUAGAUUUGAGAAAGCUCAGACAACUCAGUGAAAUGUUGUUGCCUUUGGCAAUCAUUUCUUUAAUGUCGGUCCUCUGAAAAUGGCCAUUUAUGAUCCCAGGGCUGCUCUUGCUCUUCUCUUUCUUUGCUGUUAUUUGUUGGUAUAAGUGCAACAUGCUGUAUUUGCUAUUGAAUGCUAAGCCGAAUGUGGAAACUGAACAGAAGGAAGAAAAAAAAAAUGUUUUCUUGCAGGCCAAAUGUUGCUCCAUAUAAUUUCAGUAAAUAAGCUUACAAUAAAAAAAUGAAGAAAUUA